GCAGCUCAAUGGCAGAACAUCUGCUUUGCACGUAGAAGGUCCCAGGUUCAGUCUCUGGCAUCUCCA